CAAGUGUAUGAGAAGCAUCCAAAGAUGUGUUAGAGAGGGACCAUUCCCCAUUUCUUCAAAAGUAGACAGAAGAAAUAUUAAGCUUUGCUUUUGUUUUCAUUGUUUUCCCAGUAUUAAAUUCUGAGAACAUUUUCUCAUGUUGCUAAAUACUAUGAAAAUCAACAUGACUUGGCCUGUAAAGUGAUACCAAGAUUUUCAGACAUGGAUAACAUCUGGAUAGAUAUCAAUGGGCUUUUAAAAAGACCUAUGGACUGAAGCCCACCAGGCUCCCCUGUCCAUGGAAUUCUCCAGGUAAGAAAGAUUAGAAAGGCUGUUCUACUAAACUGACUUCAGAACCUCUGAUGGAAUUUUACUGAAUGGAAAAGAACUUAAUGAAUAUUGAUUCUUCAAGAAAGUGGCUCACGUUCAAUUUUGCAGUGACCUGAAAUAAAUCACAGACAAAAAGUUAUUAAACUCAAAAUUAGUUCUCAAAAAAACUCAGAAAAAUAAACAGCUAACAUUUCUUGAGGACUUUUGCUCAGGCACAAUCAACAACCAACUCCAAAAGCAAAGUAUUAGUGUUAUCAACAGAAUCCCCACUUUACAGAAAAAGAUGUUGAGAGGUAAGGUAUCAUAAUUAGUACUCUGGCAGAGACGGUAUUUAAUACUCAUAAUUUGAUUCCA